CAAUUUCAAUAGAAAAGAGAGAAUCAGAAGAAGAAUUCUCGGAGAGAGGAGAGCAAAGGAUCCAGAGAAGAGGAAUUUCAUUUGAUCAACCCCUAAAUUACAAAGAAUGUUUCUCUUUUAUGCAAAUUGUCACCUUAAUAGCUUAACAACCCACACUAAUCAAUAUUAGUCAUGUAUCAAUACCUCCUCCUCAAGCUUCCUUGUCCUCGAGGAAGAACAACUAGAAAAUAGGCUCCUCAGUUAACUCCCAAAAGCAUCUAUAGGAAUGGCAGCAAAAACAUGCUCCCACUAGAACACUCGCAAUGAUCUUCUAUAAUUCUUCAUUUUACAUCGAAUUCUUCUCAAAUGCUCUUGUCCCUCACCAGUUGCACCCAUCUUCUUAUCCUUUUUUUCUCCUUCAUUUUACAUUGAAUCCUUCCCAAAUAAUACUUGUUCAAUUCCAAUAUGAAAGAGCCCAUAUAUUUGCACCUUGAAAAAUGAAUUUGGAAUCAAGCUCUAGACUGGUAUUUCCCUCAAACUCUUUCACAACAUCUCUAUCGUUCAAAUCAUGUUCAUGAGAGCCCAAAACUAAUGCACGUGAAAGAUCUUUCUUUCAGUUACAAUACCCAAUCUUUCGUCCCUAACAACAUCAGUAAUUUGUAUUCUUGAAAUAUUUUUUUCAAUUGCAGGACCUAAUGCAUCUCUAAUAACCUUACUUUCUUAAAAAACUUCAUCUUCCAUUAUGUUGCACUCAAACUUCUUUUGAUCUUUGUCAACAUCAAAAUCUUUCUCAUUUACAUUUUGAAUUUGUUUAUCCUCUUCAUCAUCAAUAAUGAUCAUGUCUUGUUGGACACUCUCAU
rnacentral:misc_RNA from 1 species